UCCACCUCUGCUUCUGGGAGGAUCCAAGUGUGGCCACAGAGCGGACUCCUCCAUCUCAUCCCACCAACUCUGUAAAUCCACCAGGCCCCACAAUGCAUCCUCCACACCACUGCAGUAACAGCCAUAUCUUCAGGUCACAAAGCUUCAGUACUAUCUGAAUGUGUUGAAUUACCAUCCAGCAUCCUGUGGCAACGUCAAUGUGAAACCGCAUUGACCCGUGAUCAAUAUAUAUAAUGUAAUGACAAACAAUUACUGUAAUAACUCAUUAUAAUGUAAUAACUUCAUGUAAUUUCCCCCCCAUUUUAAUCAAGUAUUCAUUAUUUCAUGUUUUAUUAAGUAUAUGCCCCAA